UACGUAGGGUGCGAGCGUUGUCCGGAAUUAUUGGGCGUAAAGAGCUCGUAGGCGGUCUGUCGCGUCGGCUGUGAAACCCCGAGGCUCAACCUCGGGCCUGCAGUCGAUACGGGCAGACUAGAGUGUGGUAGGGGAGACUGGAAUUCCUGGUGUAGCGGUGAAAUGCGCAGAUAUCAGGAGGAACACCGGCGGCGAAGGCGGGUCUCUGGGCCAUAACUGACGCUGAGGAGCGAAAGCGUGGGGAGCGAACAGG
rnacentral:rRNA from 1 species